rnacentral:rRNA from 1 species
AGAGCGAACGCUGGCGGCAGGCCUAACACAUGCAAGUCGAACGGACCCUUCGGGGUUAGUGGCGGACGGGUGAGUAACACGUGGGAACGUGCCUUUUGGUUCGGAAUAGCUCCUGGAGACGGGUGGUAAUGCCGAAUGUGCCCUUCGGGGGGAAAGAUUUAUCGCCAUUAGAGCGGCCCGCGUCUGAUUAGCUAGUUGGUAAGGUAAUGGCUUACCAAGGCGACGAUCAGUAGCUGGUCUGAGAGGAUGACCAGCCACAUUGGGACUGAGACACGGCCCAAACUCCUACGGGAGCAGCAGUGGGAAUCUUGCGCAAUGGGCGAAAGCCUGACGCAGCCAUGCCGCGUGAAUGAUGAAGGUCUUAGGAUUGUAAAAUUCUUUACACCGGGACGAUAAUGACGGUACCGGAAGAAGAACGCCCCGGCUAACGUUCGUGCCAGCACGCCGC